GACGAACGCUGGCGGCGCGCUUAACACAUGCAAGUCGAGCGAGAACCGGGGCUUCGGCCCUGGGGACAGCGGCGAACGGGUGAGUAACACGUGGAUAACCUGCCCUCGGCACCGGGAUAGCCCGGGGAAACCCGGAUUAAUACCGGAUGGCCCAGCUGGCUCACGAGCCGGCUGGAAAAGGUAGCUUCGGCCUCCGGCCGAGGAUGGGUCCGCGGCGGAUUAGCUUGUUGGUGGGGUAACGGCCCACCAAGGCUCCGAUCCGUAGCUGGUCUGAGAGGACGAUCAGCCACACUGGGACUGAGACACGGCCCAGACUCCUACGGGAGGCAGCAGUGGGGAAUCUUGCGCAAUGGGCGAAAGCCUGACGCAGCGACGCCGCGUGAGGGAGGAAGGCCUUCGGGUUGUAAACCUCUUUCAGGAGGGACGAAGCUACUCGGGUGAACAGCCCAGAGGGUGACGGUACCUCCAGAAGAAGCCCCGGCUAACUACGUGCCAGCAGCCGCCGUAAGAC
rnacentral:rRNA from 1 species